UUAGAAUCAGCUGUGCCUUCCUAGUGUUUGCCUUUCCUUGUUUUCCUCCGUGUGUGUAUAUAUAAUGUGUGGUUGCAUGUGCUCUUUGUCAGUCCAUCUGUGUUUCCUGGUGACUCUCUUUGUUUCUCUGUUCAUCAUCCUGGAUUUCUCCCUGCAAGUUAUGGUUUGAGGUACUGGAGGUCAAACACAGACUGAGUAUGAACCAGUGGUUAAAAGGCCUGCAGAUUUUUACAUAAAUGUUGCCAAAUAUAACACAAGGACUACAUGGUUGAUUUACACAACUGUAGACUGAGCAAAGAGACACGACUUUUACAAUGAGCUGUCCUGAGAUUACCUUUGUUUUUCUGAUAGUGUCUGUUUACUGGGCUGGUACUGACAGUGAAACACUGACUGAGUCUGAAUCCGUGAUUAAAAGGCCUGGAUACUCCCACAGACUGACCUGUACAUACUCAGGGUUCAGUGGGGAUGAUCAUUAUGUUUGGAUCCGACAGGCUGCUGGAGAAGGACUGGAAUGGAUCAUUUAUAUCAGUGGUGGCAGCAGCUAUAUCCACUACUCUCAGUCAUUCAGAGGCCAAUUUACCAUCUCCAUAGACGACAACAGAAAGCAGGUGUAUCUGCAGAUGAACAGCUUGACGACUGAUUCACCACAUCAAACCAAGCCAUAAUUUGCUUUCAGCUCUUCAGAAAUGAACUGAAUAUUAAUGUCUGACCAUCAGACAGAGUACAGACAAAGGACUGGAGUGUAUUGGGAGGAAAAGUAGUGGGAGCUCUCACUAUAAAGACUCACUGAAGAUAAAGGUCAGCAAUG